rnacentral:rRNA from 1 species
CAGCCGCCGCGGGAAUACGUAGGUGGCAAGCGUUGUCCGGAAUUAUUGGGCGUAAAGGGCUCGCAGGCGGUUUCUUAAGUCUGAUGCGAAAGCCCCCGGCUCAACCGGGGAGGGUCAUUGGAAACUGGGAAACUUGAGUGCAGAAGAGGAGAGUGGAAUUCCACGUGUAGCGGUGAAAUGCGUAGGGAUGUGGAGGAACACCAGUGGCGAAGGCGACUCUCUGGUCUGUAACUGACGCUGAGGAGCGAAAGCGUGGGGAGCGAACAGGAUUAGAUACCCGCGUAGUCCCUGUCUCUUAUAU